rnacentral:rRNA from 1 species
AGAGUUUGAUCCUGGCUCAGGAUGAACGCUAGCGACAGGCCUAACACAUGCAAGUCGAGGGGCAGCGAAGAGGUAGCAAUACCUUUGUCGGCGACCGGCGCACGGGUGAGUAACACGUAUGCAAUCCACCUGUAACAGGGGGAUAACCCGGAGAAAUCCGGACUAAUACCCCAUAAUAUGGGCUCUCCGCAUGGAGAGCCCAUUAAAGAGAGCAAUUUUGGUUACAGACGAGCAUGCGCUCCAUUAGCCAGUUGGCGGGGUAACGGCCCACCAAAGCGACGAUGGAUAGGGGUUCUGAGAGGAAGGUCCCCCACAUUGGAACUGAGACACGGUCCAAACUCCUACGGGAGGCAGCAGUGAGGAAUAUUGGUCAAUGGUCGGCAGACUGAACCAGCCAAGUCGCGUGAGGGAAGACGGCCCUACGGGUUGUAAACCUCUUUUGUCGGAGAGUAAAGUACGCUACGUGUAGUGUAUUGCAAGUAUCCGAAGAAAAAGCAUCGGCUAACUCCGUGCCAGCAGCCGCGGUAAUACGGAGGAUGCAAGCGUUAUCCGGAUUUAUUGGGUUUAAAGGGUGCGUAGGCGGCACGCCAAGUCAGCGGUGAAAUUUUCGGGCUCAACCCGGACUGUGCCGUUGAAACUGGCGAGCUAGAGUACACAAGAGGCAGGCGGAAUGCGUGGUGUAGCGGUGAAAUGCAUAGAUAUCACGCAGAACCCCGAUUGCGAAGGCAGCCUGCUAGGGUGAAACAGACGCUGAGGCACGAAAGCGUGGGUAUCGAACAGGAUUAGAUACCCUGGUAGUCCACGCA